rnacentral:lncRNA from 1 species
ACUGUGGGAACAUUGAAUCAGAAGAGACACCUGUGAUCGAGCAAGUUGCUGAACCUCACCCUGGUCAUUUAAGAGAUGAGUCUCGCGUGAACAAUCUAAGAUCAAUUUUAAAAGGUGUUCCUCCGCCUCCAAAUUACACAAUUGCAGAGCUGAACAUUCUGGAUCUUCUCAAUAAGUAUCAUGACAAUAAAGGGAUCUUUGGCUUGGACCAAGUGACUCCAAUGGAAAUCAUUGAAGAUUCAUCUGCACUGCAGGAACAGCGAAAAGAAUUUAAUUCUGAUUCUGAAAAGUUAGAUUGUCCCAACAAUUCUACGUCAGAUCAGGAGGAUAAAUGUAUCAGAACUUCUUCAGAUGUACUGAAACAUGUAACUCCUGAAACGGAAUCUUACAAGUCCUUGCUGUGGCCUGAAGUGACACGUGUAACUUAUUUUGAUGUCUAUUACAACCUAGGAAAUUUUUCUGAGGAGCUGGCUACCCUUGUUGACAAAUUUAGAGAGCGUUACGUCAGUUCUGAAACUAACUCAUCGUUCAUCACUCAAGGCCCAAUGCUAACAGGAAGUGCUAAAAAAAGGGCCAGGAGACGUGCAUGGGGUGGUUACAGUCCAGGAAGAAGGUUGUCUCAUCUGGCUCAACGUCGGCGCACAUUCUCGUCUGCUAAUUUGAGUCAGUUCUCUACAAAUGCCAAUGGACGAGUGAUCUUGCCAGGUGGCUCAAACAACAAAAAUCAGCUGUCUCAAAGAAAGUCAUUAUGGUUGACAUGAAACAGAAGAAUGCUCAGAAAGCUAAAAGCACAUCUCGAAUUAAGGAUGUAAGUCGUGGAGUGUCCAAGCCAAACAUUAAUCAAUCAAAGCGUGCUCUUUUCCAAAGCCCUGACCAGGUGACGAAGAAUAGUGGGAAAAAGGAACGAAUGUCAAAAACAACUCCAAACAAGUCACGGACUUCGAAACGAGCACUUUGGCCAAGCAGUGACAAAAAAAAUCGACGGAGCACAAAGAAACCGACUCCCAAGAAAACCGUAAUUGAAGAUUCAGAUGAAGAAGAGGAGCGUGAGAUAAAUGCCAACGGGAAGCGGCUUUCAAAUGAAAACGAUGCUGGUCCUUCUCGAAAAAAUUGCAAGAAAAGUCUGACCUUUACUUCGGAGCAUGUUUCAUCUGUUGAUGUAGAGACCAAAAUCAAGCAGCCUUCAGACCCUCUUAACAGUCAAAUACCUCCGCAGCAGCAUAAGCAGUUGAGCCAACACCAUAAACAGAAAAUGGUUUGGGCAGUCGCCAGUUCAUUGAAACAGUGCGGUAUCAAUGGUAGUCACGAACUGUUUCGUCCAGCCGGCACAGUACUCUUCAAGAAAUGCCGCCAAGUGUGGCUUCAACAGCUGAACAAUCAAAAAAGUCAAGUCAAGAGAAGUACCAGUGAGCAGAUGUUUGAAAUUGCAAUCAAGUACGCGCCAGAAACAGUGAGGAAAUUAAAGGCUAAUGCAAAUUUAACCAAUGCUCGCAGCUCUUUACCAUCUGAUAAUUUUGUAAAUAUCAAUAGUGUUCCAUGCGAAGAGAAAAGCAAGUCAGGUUUUUCCAAAGUUUCGGAUAUCUUUUUCAGCGUUAAAAAUUCCCAAAGCUCUCAAGAAGAUCCGUCUGCGAUAGCAGCAGAAGAAAGUGUAAGCCUCUAUGCACAACCAUUAGUAGAUGCAACGGAUACCAAUUCUAAUAGUAAUAGUCUAAUAAGUGAGGUUAGUUUUGGUGGUUUAAGGGAUGAAAAGUCUACGGAAAUCAGCCACUCAGAAUUUUCAAAUAGCACCACAGAUAAUUCAAUCGAGAAAAAUUUGCAGCAAAUCUUUGACGGUUGCUCUGUGCCUGUCAAAUAUCAAGCUGCGUCAGAUAGUCCAAUGGAUCUCCCAAAAAUUUUCGAUGAAGAAAGUCAGAUGUCGCAAUUCCCCUCAUUUUCAAGUAAUACACCCAGUAGUAAGCCAAACCUCUCUAUCGAUAAAUUGUCCUCUGAUAGUGUUUUCAAUAAACCAGUAGUCCCUGACGAGUCUAAAGCCGUAGACGAAUCACUUAAAAAAAUUGUUGACGAUAUUAAGACUGAUGUUGAGAUGAGCGAAAAUGACUCUGGUUUCAUCGACAAUGAUUACACAAGCAAAUCUUCGAAAUCAUCAUUAGAUGUCAAAUCUGGUAAAAUUGAUGCACAAUCUCCAACAACUUUCACAGCAAUGGUCUCUAAAUUGUCCUCGCCUAGUGUUGGAAAGGAGAACGAGCCUUUGCAACCUACCGCAAAUUUAGUUCUUUCCACAAUGGUCGAAAACGUUAGUUUCAGUUUCAAAAAGUUCGGGACAGCAGUAGAAAGUGUUGAGCCGCUGACUGAAAAAGAUUCAAAUUGUAAAAUAUCAAAUUUGGUAAUUUCUGCACAAUUUGAUGAGACUGCCAUGAGUUCUUGUGAUAUAAGUGUGGGUGAAAGGCCAAAGAGUGUGUUGGGUGAUAAUUUUCCAGGUUGUCAGUAAAAUUGCCACCAAUUUCAGUGCCAAGAUAUUGGGAGAUUCUUAUAGAUUAAAUUUUUGUCCUCCUCAAAUUUCAUUUUUAGGUCCACUCGGAGUUCGGACCUCUGUAGAAAAUAGGCAGACCAAUAUUCAGAGUUGUGCAAAGGCCCCAUUUCUUUCUUAAAAAAGAAGGGGAAAAAAUGUGUUUAAUUUCUAAAAAUAAGAUUUAUGUUAGCCAAAGUCUUUUCAAUCAGAAUACGUCAAAAUCUCUAGACCUUUUGAUUUCAUCCACUUUUCCCUCAUUUAGGCUGAAACUGUACUAAAUCUGACUUAAAAUAAGCGUGGCGAGAAAGCAGUAAUUUUCUUAGAAAUUAAUACCAUAUCAUAUGGUAAAAUAUUUGCAAAACUAAGAAAAUGACCAAAGGAGUUUAGGAAUUUUACCCUCUUACAAGUGCCCGCACACUCCUCAAUAGUUCUCUGAGAAUCUUUUAAAUUUAUGUUCAAUUCUAUUCAAGUGAACUUCCCCAAUUUAAAUAGCAUAACUUCAUCAGGUUUUCCAGAGGUUUAAUGAAUGCUCCAUUUAAAUCGUCAUUCAAAAUUUUGUCACGAAGAUGCACAAAUAGCCUGGAAUUUCUGAAUCAAUUACUUCUUAUCUGUACCCUUUGCAAUCAAAAUUCAUAAAUAAGUUCAAAUCAGUUAAAAGAGCAGAUGCCAAAAUCAAUUUUUCAUUAGUUUGUUAGUUUGUCUACCUAAGAAACUUCUUGAUAGGCAAAUAGAUCUUUUCAACACCUUUAAACUGUAAAAUUAUCACUUGACUUUUUCAAUUGGCUCAUGAAUUGUCAUGGAGCCUACCUUCCUUAAGUGUUUGUGUUUGAUCUCAACUUGAAUUAUAAUUAUUAGAUUGCAGGAUGAUGCAGAUUUGUAUCCCAUUUUGGUUGUCAAGCACUGUUCGUUGCUUCUCUGACGUCAGACCGUAUCUCAAUUUUCAAGUAAGCCCUAAUCUCCAUGUAACUCUAUGCUUUUUAAGGCUCACAAAAAAAUAGAGAUACAUCUUUAUGUCAAAAGAGCGACGUGUUUAUUAUUUCAACAAAAUCAAGCUUGGUAUUUAUGUUUCUUUGCAGGAAGUUUAAUUUGCUCACUUUUCUUCUUUAAUCUGUGAUUUUUUAUCAAUAGCUUUCAAAAGAGUCGGUAUGUAGCUUGUCUUUGUCCUGGAAAUUUUCAGCUGUUCGUUCUUGCUUCCAAGCAACCUACAGUAUUUUUUACUAUUUGUAACAACCGUAACUUUAUAUGUGUGUCAAAUCAAAUUUCAUCUCUCUUUUUCACAUCUUUUUUGACUUUGAUACAUUCUAGACCUUUAAUUUGGUUUUUUAAUUUUUUAAGAAAGCGUUUUUAAAAUUUGACUCCAAAAAAACUUAAAAGUGCACUGUCAUCUGUAAGUAAAAUUCAAGGAGCGUUCCUUUAAUUCUCUGCAUGAUGACUCAAAUUAUUUUUAAGAAAAUGUUUACCAAAUACAUCUUGUAGUUUCUUGUAUUUAAUGUCAAAUUUAAACUGAAAUAAUCUAUGCCUCAUUUUCAGUGAUUUUGCUCGAAUUCUUCAACAGGAAUGUGUGUGCUCAAUAGUACUAUUUGUUCUGUUUCUGAAUAAUUUUUAAGUAAAAUGGUUUAAAAAGUGGUAUAUUUUGUCAUUAUCAUGAAAAUUUUGAAUUUUCUGUUGCCUAAUGACCACUUUAUUUAGUCUAGUUUGUACAUGUUUCGACUUGACUUCCGAAUGGGAGCUUUUUUUUUAUCUCGAACAAUAUAUUGGGACCUAUUAUGUACGGCAGUGAUUGUCAUGCCAAGUAACAAAGCGGCAACGAUUUUUUACUCAAUUUUGAUUAAAUUUUCUCAGUUUCAUAUCGGUCAUUGUGAUGCUUGGCUGGUCAAAUUUAUGUAAAUUGGUGCAAAAUUUUUAUUCGCUAUUUAAUUAAGAGUCCUAUCAACGGCCAGGCGUCCUCUUUCAGUGAUCAAUUCCUUUUGGCAAAGUGUACCAAACAGAGGCCACAUUUGUAUUUUUUGCCCAUAGUCCUCAGUCACAGCACAGAGUAAAUAUUAUUUGGAUAGUGUUAAGCAAACCAGUCAAAUAUACAUUGGGCUUUUUUGAAAAUAGCCCCUCCAUUUAAAGACAUAUUGUAAGCUGAAUUUUGUUGCAUGGAGGCUAGGUCUUGGUUAAAUGUAUAUUAAAAACCUUGAUCAAUAAGAAUUAAAAUUGACGUAUUGUUAGCCUCAAUGGUGGCUUUAAGCAGAUAAGACGUUCUUCUUCCCGAUUUUUGCUGAACUGUGUGCUGUGAGCAAGUAGAUAAUCUUUACAGGAAGAUACAAACACCUAAGUGGACAUUGAGUUUAGCGGAACUUACAGUAACUUUCUAAGUGUGCCCUCUUUUUGGCAUUGUCAAAGUGCCAGCGCUUUUCUGAUUUUGUAUGCGUUCUUAUUUAAUUCAUGUUACCUAUCCCACAUUAUUGAAUCUUGUUUCUUCAAUCAGUCUUUCUUCAAAUCUCUCAAUGCAGAUAUGACUGGUUUUGCUUAACACCAUCCACUUUUUCUUUAAAAUGAAAUAGAAUAGAGUAUGUAUUUAGUAAUUUUAAUUUUUCAAUUUUUCUUAGGGGACUUUUAUUGGUUGAUUGUUCAUAAUUUUUUAUUGUUGUUAUUGUGAUAAUUAGUAAAUAAAUUGAAUAAGAACAUGAUGUCAACUGACUUUUUACUUUAUUUACCUAUUUUUUUAUAUUUAGUAAUACCGAAGGGAUUUUAUAACCCUGGAUCUCAUGUGAUAAUUGAGAAAGCAAGGAAACCUUGAAAAGCUACAGUUCUUUCUUGAAGGAUGAGCAUUUUUUCAAAAUUUCAGGCAUUUACUACAAUAUUGAUUUAAUUUUUCAAUUCUCAAGUCGAGGAAACCUAGCAACUUUCUCUUUACGAUGACACAAAAAUUGUGGCCAAUUUUCUGCACUGAUAGCUCUCAAAUCUUUAAAAUUAUAUUAAUAAAGUACUCCAGGGAAAUACUCAAGACCCAGCAAAUCGCAUUACUGUUGAAAUAUGUUUUGCGACUGUAGUUGCAAGUCAUAAGUUAGUUGUAAUUUUUCACAGUUACUUCACCUAUCAAAGAACCAAUGAUACACUUAGGAAACAAUGAGAAAGUGUCAGGAAGGGUACAUCCAUGGCUAGAUUUGUAAAAUGCGUAUCUCCAAUCUG